UGGAGGCUAUAUCCCACAGCUAGGUGGCAAUCCAUACAGUGCUGCCAGCUUACUUUGUGGUUUCAGGCAGGUUAUUUUAUUUUUCCAUCUGUAAAAUGAAAAUAGCAGCAGUUCAUCUCCUUUGCUGGGGUGCCAGAAAAAAACAGAUCUGCUCAAGAUCUUUACAUCAAGAAGAAGUAAAGGUAAUUCAUUCAAAUGCCAUUAUCUCCAGUGUUUACAAAGGGUGUGUAUGGAAGAUCCCCUGCAUCAGGUCCAUUGGAGAAGCUAGGAACUAACACUGCAAAUCAGUUGGGCGUGGGGUGAGGCUUACCCUGUUAGAAGUGAAUGUUACAGUUUGCUGUAAUUUAUGUGCCUUGUCUUAUGGUGCACAUCACAUCAUCCAGAAUCCUCCAAUGAAUAUCAGAAAUACCAGUAGUGUCUUAUGGAAUCAGAUGCCCUGGACCUGCAUGAAUGCUUCCUUUGCAAGAUGAGAUUGAAGGCAGAAGAUUUCCUAAGAGCCCAAGCAGGAUAUUAGGGAUAAGAAUACCAAUGUGGAAAAUUCAUCAUUAAAAAAAUCAGCUCAGCACUCACAAUCAGAUUUUGUUAAAAUGCAAAGCUAGCUAUUCAGAAUUUCUCCACAGACUACAGGACUUUUGGUCUCUGCUAUUGGUGUUUGGGAUAAAUGCUCCAAAGGUACACGAGCAUGAGAUUAAUUGAUAUGAGACUGAUGUGUACAGAAUUAAUUAAUAUGAGAGACAGAGAGAAAGUCACUAUGAGCAUAGAGAUCUAUGAAAUAAAUUAACUGAUAUUUUGGGGAAAUCUAGAAUCUCCUUGUACUAUCAUUUGCACUCCAUGGAAAACAUAUCUGUGAUUUGAUUAUGUUAAAAAAACCCAACUUUUAAUAGCCUUUUAACUCUACUGCGCAAUAGGAAAAAGAAAACAAGUAAGAUAGUUUAUUCUAUUAUUUUCUUUGUAUUUAAUUGAUUUUUUCUAUAUUAAUUUAUUUAAAAAUUAUACAUCCUUUUAGAAAUUAGGAUAUGUGAAAAUAUCUCUUUUGAUCAUACUGAUCAAAAUGUUCAUUUGAUCAUUCAUUUAAGCAGUUCUUGAAAAAUGGUUAAAUAAUAUUGUAGCGAAAGACUGAAAUUAACCUCCCAGAUGGGUUUAAGGAGAUUAAUGAGUCUGAGACGCCAUAGAUGUCCAGAGUAAUGGGUCCAAAGUAAUAAAACAGACCCACAGAACCAUGAAAGUAAUUUAUUCUAAGCAUGGAAAAUGGUAAGAAUUUGUUAAUAUCUAGUAUUUUUGUAAUUUUGAGAAUCAUUGCAGAAUCCUUACUCCCUGACAUAAAGAUGGAUGGAGCAUAGGCAUUAAAACAAAUACUGUGAUUUUACAAGAAGUACAUCUGGUUUCUUUACCUGUAGCUUACUGUUACUGGGGGUGGAACACUGAGGUAAUAUAAUGUCAUAAAAAGAAUACUGUAAAAAAGGAGACAAUGUCCCUUCUCUUUCUAUGACAUAUCCCUUAAGCUGUUGACCACUGGCCCAAGCCCUUGUACCCUGGCCCAAGAAAACGUCUUGGACAUUUUGUUAGCUUUAAGCAUGCCCUAAACCAGACACAUGAAUUUUACAUAAGUAGAAGGUCUACUGCAUUUAAGUUACUGCCAGUUAAGUUACAUCCCAGGAAGGAUGAGAUCGGAGGAGAUAAUUUGGGGAGUUUUGUGUUUGCUGUGCAGUUUGUCUCACCAUGAAGCCCUGGUUCUCUGCAUCAUUAAUUUAGACUUCCAAGAAAGUCAAUUUGCUAUUUGCUAUUUACUUUUUCUUCUUUGCUAUAUCCCACUUAUUUAAGUAAAAUUAAUGUUGCAAGAGGUGUACUCCAAAGUGUGUGAUCCCCCUCCACUCUGGCUUCUAUUCCCACUGGUUUUGGGUGACUCACAGUGACCCUCUGCCUUUCUAAUCCAUCCGAUGCUUUUCACCUGUAUUGGCUCUGCCUUGCUCCAUUUACUCUUAUCCCCGCAUUCUCAGAUCCAGUUUUCUGGUCUUCUCUGCUUGGCUUGUAAUUCCUACCUCAACCUACUGUGCAGAUACUAGCAAGUAAUUGCCAAGGGCAUGACAUGUAUAAGGGGAACUGCAAUUAUGGCUAAGAUUCGGCAUAUGCUGCUUUUACAGCCAUAAGGGUUUGUUGGAAUUCUAUGGCAGGAAUGCUAACUCGGAGAAGAAGUGAGCAAUUACAGGAGAUAUCAAGAAGGGAAGAAAGAGAAGAUCUAGAAAUGGGAUUGAAUGUGCCCCAGAUACAAAUUAUCUUUUUAGGGUUCUGGGAAUUUAGAGUUCUGGAAUACUGAAGAUAAGAAUAAUUUCAGGGAGAGUCUCACUGAUCUUCUGCUGCUCUGUGACAGAGCAGGUCUAGCACAGAAGAAACCUGCAGAAAACUGAGGUGAUAACUCACAAGAUCCUAAUUAAGUGUGCACUCUGUUUCUUUUAUAGCUUAAUGAUUUUUUAGUAUAUAGAUGAUUAUAGUGAUACAUAUCUAGGGCAAUUUAAGUUCUUUGUCAGCUUAGGGCAAGUAAAUUUUUUCAGUGAAAGUCAUUAGAUAUUAUUUUUUUAAAGUAAGCAAAACUAAUUAUUUUCCACUUAUCUCCCACCAAGAGCUUCCUCAUUCUACUCCAUUACAGUUAACUCUAAAUAGAUAAAUUUUGGAAUAGUCACACACAGUAGAACAGGAUUUUUGAAAAUACUUGAAUACUGGCAAUCCUGAAAUAUAACUACCAUGCAUAUGAACUAAAUUCUUUUUGCUUUCCCCUUUCUAAAAUAAAGGAAUAAUUUACACUGAGGCUCAUCUUGAGUAUAACUUAAUCACUGACUCUUGAAUAAAGUACCUAGAUCAUGACUACUAGGCAAAUUAGCACAGAAUAAUUUUCUAAAUUGAUUAUCAAUACAGUAAUUAUUAUGAGUCUGAAUAAUUCUGAUUUAUAUGAAAAAACUAAGAGCAUAUUGCACAGCAGCAAACUACACUAUUUCAGAUGCCCAUUCCUCUUGAAUAUAAUUUUUCAUGCACUGAAGUUAGAAUGUAGGAGCAAUGUUUUGUAGAAGACAUAAUUAAAAAUAAGAUCCUCUAUCCAUCAUUUGGUAUGUGGUUUCUAUUCUGGUGAAUUUAGCAUCUGAAUAUAUGCCAUCAUUGUCAGAAAUUGCUGACAUGGACACAAAUGAUCUGAUUUUUGUUCCUCUAUAAGCAGACCAACGCAGAUUUUGAUAUUUCAUUAAUGUUUCCAGCUUUGAAUUUGAAAGUCUGACCUCAACUUAGAAAUUUGACCUUAAAUCCCUGGUACAUCGUAACUAUGGUAUACAGUGAAAAUCAAGCUGAAUGCAUGAGAGAAAUCAUUGCUUCCCAGAUGCUGAACACUGCUUAUUCAGUUGAGAACGCCAGGUCAGUUUCCCCUGUUCAGUUAAGGCAACACCAGCUGAAAUAUUUUAAUUUGCUUUUAACCACGAACAAACUGAUCUAAUGUGAUACUGCAAAAUUUAAUCUAAUUGUUGUUAACCAUGGUCCUCAGAUACAAAUAAAAUGUUCUCAAUGGAACAUUAUUAACAGACAUUUUACCCAUAAUACUUUUCUUUUUUUCAAUAAUGGCUAGAAUUUUCCAUGUCAGUUAUGUAUGGUGAAGAGGUUUUGGUGCCAUACGGUUUACAGAACCAUCUGUGUACUCCAAGGACUGCCUUGAUGUGCACUCAAAUGCAAACUUGUUUUGUGAAAGGUUAAAGCAGCAGAAAUAUAUAUCAGAAACUAUCUACUGGUAUUCCCAAAAUGAAUCUUGCAGCUGUUCAUGUCAAAUCCUUUUUGUUAUUAUUGGAGAAGACCAUUUAACAUUAGAAGAAAGCUAUAAACCCUGUGAUAAUAAUAUGCUGUUGUCAACCAGAGAGAAUCUGUCUUGGAACUUGUUACCCUGUACUUUGGAACAGGGUAACAAUUUUCAGCUAACAGUAUAUAUUUUUGGGGGUUCUUUGCAUAAAAUAAGAUUCAUCUUGCAAUAGUAUGAAAAGUCACAACAUCUCAGAGAAUAAUUGGGAAAAGAAAUAUUAUUUUAAAAAUUAAAUUCAAGAGGCUCUGGUUCUAAAAAGCAGUUUGCUAUUGUAUAAUGAACUCAUCCUUCCCUCACAGGAACUUCAUUGCAGCCAUGUUCUUUAUAUAGAUUUGUUGCUGGGUUUUUUUUUUAGUCUUGUGAAUUGUUUAUUAUUUCCUGCAAAGAGCCUCAUCUGCAGGAACUGCAGGUUCCCUCUUUUCAUUUGCCCCAUACCUGACUAUAGGUGUAAGACAUGAGGAUUAAGCUUUCCUGCUUCAAGAUGAAAAUUUGUAACUCCUGGCUCUGUAUGAAACAGUAGAAAUGCAAAUCUGAUUCUAGCUCUUUAAAGGAAUGAUUCAGAUUCACUUAAUUUAGUCUUCCUUGUUUUAACCUCAUAGAUGUCUUUCUCUGUUUACAGUUCAUGGAGACAAGCCAUUCCAGAAGGCAGUGGUUCCUGGCUACCAUUAAGCACAACUGGAUGUGGAGGGAAUACAGAAGUCUGUCUUAGAUUAGGCUUAAUUUUUAGACAUCUACAUGUGGCUGGCUAUGAUGAAUCCCACCCUUGUUCCCAGAAAGAUAAUUACAGUCUGCAGAUCUCAGGUGUUGUUUGAAAUGCAUAUUUGAGUCAUCUAUACAUAAUUGGAAAUAUGGCACAGAACCUACAAGAAAUCCACUUCUGUUUGAAGUGGCAGCUGCAGUCUUGAUGAGUUUUAUGAGUCAUCUCAAAUGACACACUAGAUGCAGAGGACUUCUACAAAAAGGAAUGAGAAUGUCAGUUUUUAUCUUCGCUGUAUAGCAGUGCAAUCUGAGACUUCUUGGAUCUAAGUUUGAAUCUCUUGAAGAAAAAAGUGGUGCUACAUUUCUUUUUCUCUAUGUAAGUGUUGAAAUGGCUACCUUAGGCUAUCAUAAAUGGGAAGGAAGAAAAGAAACCAGCUUGAUUACCAUUGUCUCUGAAUUUGGAAAGAAAUAUGCUGUAGUGUCUCCUCUGACUUUGAAAUGACUACAUAUAAUGCCCUGAAAUUUGCUCAAUGCAGAGGGACCUUAAGGACUGAAGUAAGGAAACACUUAGAAAGCAGCACAUACUCAGCACUUUUUAAUGGACAGCCUAGACAACUUGGCACUCAGGAUACCAGUUUGAAAAUUGAAAUCUGAGACUUGUAUAUUUCCCUGUGCUUUCCAUGGGGAAGUUGAAUAUGGAAUUAAGAGUUUAUAUUCCAACAGAGCUCAGAUGCCUCAAUCUUAUUUUGUAUCUAACCCUAUUUCUUUCUUCUCCAGUGGUUUUCUGCUUUUUAGAUGAAAAAAUACCUUUUGCACAACUUUGUCAAAAGUGAAGAAGAUGCAAACAAUUGUAUCAUCAGGAUUGUAUGCCUUAGUAUAAUGUAAUUUUUUACACUUAAUUGAUUGCAGUGAAAUUUUGCUAAAGUAAAACAGG